rnacentral:rRNA from 1 species
ACAGGUGGUGCAUGGUUGUCGUCAGCUCGUGUCGUGAGAUGUUGGGUUAAGUCCCGCAACGAGCGCAACCCUUGUGUUUAGUUGCAAACAGGUCAAGCUGUGCACUCUAGACAGACUGCCGUGGACAACACGGAGGAAGGUGGGGAUGACGUCAAAUCAUCAUGCCCCUUAUGAUCUGGGCUACACACGUGCUACAAUGGCCGGUACAACGGGCAGCGAAGGAGCGAUCCGGAGCGAAUACCUAAAAAGCCGGUCCCAGUUCGGAUUGCAGGCUGAAACUCGCCUACAUGAAGUUGGAGUUGCUAGUAAUCGCGAAUCAGAAUGUCGCGGUGAAUGCGUUCCCGGGUCUU